rnacentral:rRNA from 1 species
CCCUUAGAUGUCCUGGGCUGCACGCGCGCUACACUGAUGUGUCCAGUAAGCACCUAACCUCUUCCGAAAGGAACGGGUAACCUUUGCAAAGCACAUCGUGAUGGGGAUAGAUUAUUGCAAUUAUUAGUCUUGAACGAGGAAUUCCUAGUAAGCACAAGUCAUCAAUCUGCAUUGAUUACGUCCCUGCCCUUUGUACACACCGCCCGUCGCACCUACCGAUUGGAUGGUCCGGUGAAGCCUCGGGAUUGUGGUUCUUGCCGCUUUAUUGUGGCGUGACCGCGAGAACUUGUCUAAACCUUAUCAUCUAGAGGAAGGUGAAGUCGUAACA